AAAUUGAAGAGUUUGAUCAUGGCUCAGAUUGAACGCUGGCGGCAGGCCUAACACAUGCAAGUCGAGCGGUAGCACAGAGAGCUUGCUCUCGGGUGACGAGCGGCGGACGGGUGAGUAAUGUCUGGGAAACUGCCUGAUGGAGGGGGAUAACUACUGGAAACGGUAGCUAAUACCGCAUAACGUCGCAAGACCAAAGUGGGGGACCUUCGGGCCUCAUGCCAUCAGAUGUGCCCAGAUGGGAUUAGCUAGUAGGUGGGGUAACGGCUCACCUAGGCGACGAUCCCUAGCUGGUCUGAGAGGAUGACCAGCCACACUGGAACUGAGACACGGUCCAGACUCCUACGGGAGGCAGCAGUGGGGAAUAUUGCACAAUGGGCGCAAGCCUGAUGCAGCCAUGCCGCGUGUGUGAAGAAGGCCUUCGGGUUGUAAAGCACUUUCAGCGGGGAGGAAGGCGAUAAGGUUAAUAACCUUGUCGAUUGACGUUACCCGCAGAAGAAGCACCGGCUAACUCCGUGCCAGCAGCCGCGGUAAUACGGAGGGUGCAAGCGUUAAUCGGAAUUACUGGGCGUAAAGCGCACGCAGGCGGUCUGUCAAGUCGGAUGUGAAAUCCCCGGGCUCAACCUGGGAACUGCAUUCGAAACUGGCAGGCUAGAGUCUUGUAGAGGGGGGUAGAAUUCCAGGUGUAGCGGUGAAAUGCGUAGAGAUCUGGAGGAAUACCGGUGGCGAAGGCGGCCCCCUGGACAAAGACUGACGCUCAGGUGCGAAAGCGUGGGGAGCAAACAGGAUUAGAUACCGUAGUCCACGCCGUAAACGAUGUCGAUUUGGAGGUUGUGCCCUUGAGGCGUGGCUUCCGGAGCUAACGCGUUAAAUCGACCGCCUGGGGAGUACGGCCGCAAGGUUAAAACUCAAAUGAAUUGACGGGGGCCCGCACAAGCGGUGGAGCAUGUGGUUUAAUUCGAUGCAACGCGAAGAACCUUACCUGGUCUUGACAUCCACAGAACUUUCCAGAGAUGGAUUGGUGCCUUCGGGAACUGUGAGACAGGUGCUGCAUGGCUGUCGUCAGCUCGUGUUGUGAAAUGUUGGGUUAAGUCCCGCAACGAGCGCAACCCUUAUCCUUUGUUGCCAGCGGUCCGGCCGGGAACUCAAAGGAGACUGCCAGUGAUAAACUGGAGGAAGGUGGGGAUGACGUCAAGUCAUCAUGGCCCUUACGACCAGGGCUACACACGUGCUACAAUGGCAUAUACAAAGAGAAGCGACCUCGCGAGAGCAAGCGGACCUCAUAAAGUAUGUCGUAGUCCGGAUUGGAGUCUGCAACUCGACUCCAUGAAGUCGGAAUCGCUAGUAAUCGUAGAUCAGAAUGCUACGGUGAAUACGUUCCCGGGCCUUGUACACACCGCCCGUCACACCAUGGGAGUGGGUUGCAAAAGAAGUAGGUAGCUUAACCUUCGGGAGGGCGCUUACCACUUUGUGAUUCAUGACUGGGGUGAAGUCGUAACAAGGUAACCGUAGGGGAACCUGCGGUUGGAUCACCUCCUUACCUUAAAGAA
rnacentral:rRNA from 1 species